AUUGAACGCUGGCGGAAUGCUUUACACAUGCAAGUCGAACGGUAGAGGGGGCAACCCCUCGAGAGUGGCGAACGGGUGAGUAAUAUAUCGGAACGUGCCCAGUCGUGGGGGAUAACGUAGCGAAAGUUACGCUAAUACCGCAUACGAUCUACGGAUGAAAGCGGGGGAUCGCAAGACCUCGCGCGAUUGGAGCGGCCGAUAUCAGAUUAGGUAGUUGGUGGGGUAAAGGCUCACCAAGCCAACGAUCUGUAGCUGGUCUGAGAGGACGACCAGCCACACUGGAACUGAGACACGGUCCAGACUCCUACGGGAGGCAGCAGUGGGGGAAUUUUGGACAAUGGGCGCAAGCCUGAUCCAGCAAUGCCGCGUGCAGGAAGAAGGCCUUCGGUUGUAACUGCUUUGUACGGACGAAACGGCUCUGGUUAAUACCUGGGGCUAAUGACGGUACCGUAAGAAUAAGACACCGGCUAACUACGUGCCAGCA
rnacentral:rRNA from 1 species